UACGAAGGGGACUAGCGUUGUUCGGAAUCACUGGGCGUAAAGCGCACGUAGGCGGAUGUGUCAGACAGGGGUGAAAUCCCGGGGCUCAACCUCGGAACUGCCUUUGAUACAGCACGUCUCGAGUCCGGAAGAGGUGGGUGGAAUUCCUAGUGUAGAGGUGAAAUUCGUAGAUAUUAGGAAGAACACCGGUGGCGAAGGCGGCCCACUGGUCCGGUACUGACGCUGAGGUGCGAAAGCGUGGGGAGCAAACAGG
rnacentral:rRNA from 1 species